UACGAGAGGCCCAACCGUUAUUCGGAAUUACUGGGCUUACAGAGUUCGUAGGCGGCUCAGCAAGUUGGGUGUGAAAUCCCUCGGCUCAACCGAGGAAUUGCGCUCAAAACUACUGAGCUUGAGGGGUAUAGAGGUAAGCGGAACUGAUGGUGGAGCGGUGAAAUGCGUUGAUAUCAUCAGGAACACCGGUGGCGAAGGCGGCUUACUGGGUACCUCCUGACGCUGAGGAACGAAAGCUAGGGGAGCGAACGGG
rnacentral:rRNA from 1 species